AAGAGAGAAUUUGUUUGUUCCAGGGUCAUUUUAAAGAGGCUACACACAUGUUCAUAAGCUCCGCCCACUUGACCUCAGGUUUCUCUCCAAAAGAA